rnacentral:tRNA from 1 species
GCCGGUAUAGCUCAGUUGGUAGAGCGCAUGAUUUGUAAUCUUGAGGUCGCGGGUUCGAUUCCUGCUGCCGGCACCA